UCUGUUACCAUUGUUAGCUAAUUAGACUCUCCAACUAAACAGGCUCUCUAAGCACACAUAUAAUCUAACCAGUCUCACUAACCACACAUUUCUCUUUCUAUUGUGCUUUUUUUUUCUUCUGUGUGUAUUUGUGACGGAGCUCCAGCUCUGCAUUGAACGGUCAGAUGUGACCGGUGUGGUUGGGUUGUCUAAAGACUGUUUACAAAAACUGCUCUGCAGUGAACAGUCAGAUCUGUGGUGGGACCCUCUGACGAAUGUUCACAAAAACUGCUCUGCAGUGAACAGUCAGAUCUGUGCUUGGGUUGUCUAAAGACUGUUUACAAAAACUGCGUCUUUGCCUGUGCCGCCUAUUGGAGGCAUGGCAUUUCUUCACUAUGCCUCUAUGGAAUCCAGCAGCUCCCAGUGCAAUUAAUAGCUUAGUCCAGAGCUGGCUGUAUGGAGCUGCAGGGCUGUGCAGGGCCGCCAGGAGGCGCUGCUGCUUCUGAUUUAGUCAGGGCUGAUUCAGCUGUGGGCUCAGCGAGCACUGAUGCUCACCUCCUCACACUGCAAUACUCCAAAGAAUACUUUACAUAACAUGUUACUACUAAAAUUAUUAAACACUAACACAUUACUGUCCCUUCACAGAAGGAGGAGGUUAUCUUUUUCUUUUUUCUCCACAUAGUUAUUGUUAAUAAUAAUAAUAAUAAUAAUAUUUUUUAUUAUUAUUAUAUUAUUAUUGCUACUAUUAUCAUCAUCAUACUGUGAAUCUCACACCUAUUCUCCAGUCUUCUGGAUGUCCAGUCAUGUUCAUCAUUUCCCACUCAUUCAUCACCUGUGAUCAGGUAAUAAAGAAGUUAUUAAGCAAGAAGUUAUCAGCAAGAACAGAGCAGACGUAUGUAGUCUAGUAUGAAGAUGAUCCGUGCAGAGACUCAAGAGAACUCCAGACAAACGUCCAACUAAGCUUCUUUAAUAUAUAUAAAUUGUACUAAAUGUACUAAAAUUCAUUUUCAUUGAGCAUAUAUGCAGCUGAAACAGGGAGCCAAGUGCAUCCCAAAUUGAUCAACAUUAACAUUUUAAUAUAACAGUCAUUAUGGCUUUUAGAAAAAUGUAAUUUUUUCCCAUAAGAUUACUUUUAUAUUUUAGGUUGGUUGGAAACCAGUACUUUUACAGUUUUAUUUGAGUAAAAAGCCUAAGGUAAUAUUUCCUCUUCAGAAGUGUUUUUUAACCGUAGUAUCAAUACUUCUGUAAUAAAUGUGAUAAAUGUCCAAAAAAUAAACAACCAUAGGUAACAGGGCUGUAUAUUGACAAGAACCUGGCGAUAUGAUGCAUAUCACGAUACAGGGGUUAUGAUUCAACAUAUCACAAUACUGUAAGCAAGUCAAUAUCUUGC